GAAGGAAGGAGAAGGAAAAAGCUAUUAGAACUCUUCCCAGGAGGUCAUAUGUGCCAGACACAGCAUGUGCUGGACACAGCAGGAAGCAGUCUCCCCCUUUCCUUCUGCAGACUCCUGCCUUAGCUGGCCCUUUUCCAUGCCUGCCUGCCUCCAGACCGAGUGCUCCCCAAAGCUCCCCUGAAAACUCUGCACUUGCUGUAAAGUGUCUGCUUUAAAGAAAACAUUUGGCCUUGCACGGAACACAUCUCCAUUGUAUUAAUGGAGACCUUCAGUGUAGGCUAAGAUUAGGGGUAGGCUUAACACAAUGCAUCUCCUGUAAUGUCUGCCCCUGGGACUGCAGCUAGCUCAGUGCAUGUUUUCCCUCUUCCAGCAUCUGUCUACUUGGCUCACAUCCACAGGAAAAAGCAGAUUAAGACAUGUUCCGGGAGUAGAUGGACUGCAUGAACUCCCUCGUGGAGGAGAUGCUGGCAGAACACAUGGAAUACCAGGAGAGAAGAGCUGCCAGGGAGCAACAGGUAAGACCAUGUUUGCUUCUCUGGGCACUUUUAUGGAAUGGCUGGCUUCAUGCCUGAAGAGGGCCCCCUCCCAGAAUCCCAUCUGCCCCAACAACAACCUCGGCCCCACCUCCCCCAACCUCGUGGCUUCCACUCCCAGGAUUCCUGAGGCCGCCAGGGCCCCAGGACACAGGAGGUGGGGACUCCAGGGCAGCUGUUCCCUCCAGGACUUUGGGAGGCAGAAGGCAGUCCCACUCACAUUCCUAAGCCCCCCUCCUCCCUUUGGGUUCCUAUUUCUUUCUUUUCCCUGCUGUUUUUCCCAAAUAAAAACUCCUGUUCUUUGAAAACGGUCUCUCUACUGCUUCAACUGCAGGAUUGGGGUAGGGGAUUAAAGGCAAACACGGGGAAUGCGAGUAUCAGAGGGGUAGCUGUGUUUGUCUGAAUCUGACAAAGUGGGUCUUUGCCCACAAAAGCUUAUGCUCCAAUAAGUCUAUAAGGAGUUACAUGACUCUGUCGCUUUUACAAGGAGUGCAGGAGCAACUUGUGGAAAGCCAUGUGGAAGAGUCUCAAAAUUGGCCAUGCUGCUACUUCCUCUGUGGUUUUCUUACUGAACUAGCUAGAUUAAAGCUACCAUGGAUUAGUAUACCUGGUCUGAAAAUUAUACCCUGAUUGCAGUGUAAACUAUAGUACAAUGCUUCAUUUUAAAGGUUUCCCUCCAAACUAAGUAGGCUAAAAGCCUUUGAUCUUUAAAUGAAAAGUUUAAUUUUGGAGAAAUUGGUAAAUAAGCUCCCUUAUAUCUAGCUCUUAUAUACCAGUUUUCAACAAUAGAUCACUAGAGCCCUGUAUGGAUAGGAAAUUAGAGCUGUAGAUAUCCAAAUCCACAUCUGUCGAUGCACAUAUCCACAGAUAAAGUGAAUACUCUUGGAUUUGCAGGGCUCUAUCAAUCAUGAAUUUUUUUUUUAAGAAGGUCAGUACCAUUACCCACAUUUUACAGAGAGGGGAUGUGAGUUGCCCAAGGUCACCCAGCAGCCCAAUGACAGAGCCAAGAACAGAAUCCAAGUCCCUCUCAAAUGCUCUAUCAACCAGGCCAUGCUUGCUGCUAGACAGGGAAAAAUUAAUGUUCACUGUUAAUAGGCAGGUGGCUUUAUCAAGCCUUACUACUUAAUUAAAAAUAUAGUUACUAAAACACUUUAAACAAAAGAGAAAAUAGUAUUAUACAACUCUAAACAGUACAAAAAAAUAAAACCAAAAUCAACAGAGUAACAUACACAUGAGAGUCACAAAAUUCAAUGUUUAAGUAUCUAUUCCUUAAACGCAUGGGAUAAGUUGUGUUCUAUUACUUGGGAUAAAGUUGCAUAUUAAGGUAACAUCUCAAUAUUGAUAUACAAAUUUAAAUCCUGAAAAAUAGAUUCAUGGUCGACAAACACCAUUUUGAAUAAAAAAGAACCACACUAUUCGAGAAAAUGUUAGUUACUGGUAAUGUCUCAGAAUUCUAACUCCCAAUGUCCUUGACAUACAAAAGGUCAAGACACACUGUGAUACUGAAAUAAGAACACAAAUAAUACAAUGCACAAAGUCAUUUGUGAUAGUAAAGAGAGGUACAGGUUGGACCUCGCAAAAUCAGGACUCUCUAGUCUGCCAGGACCACGGAUGUUUCUGGACCAGGGAGUCCAGACUGGGAGCCCCAGAGGCAAGAUGGCUGGUAGCUGCGAGCCCAGCAGGGCUACGGCUGGAGCUGUGACCAGGGCUGGAGCCCUGGUAGGGAAGCUGGGCCAUAACAGUCCCGGUAGCAGGGACAGGGUUGAGGCAGCUGCUGCAGCCCCAGUAAUGGGGAAAGGGAUGUGACAGCCAUGGCAGCCCAGCAGGAGGGACAACUGGGAUCGGCCACAGGGAGGAGCGGUGGGCUGGGAGGCCAGUAGCAGGAGACCAACACUGGUCCUGAGUGUUAGAAUAUGGAGGUGUAAACUAUUAGGAGAUUAUAAAUCACUGUGAUUAAUUUUACUGUAUAUUUUAGAAUUGUGCUUUUGUUUAUCUGUGAGUCCAUUUGUUCAAGAAUUCCUCAGUAAGAGCUAGGACUACCAAAGUUGACAUGAGGCUUCCACUUACAACUUAAAGCAAGGUCAGGGUUUGAUUUUCCCAGGAUAAUAAGAUUAGCAUGGAAUUUUGAUUGUUUCUCAUAAAAUGAAAAGGUCCAACAGGAAGCAAGGGGCCAGAGAUGGGGACGGGAACAGCUAUAACCCCAAAGGGCCAGCAGAAGGCAGGGGUGGAGAAAGGGACAGCAAUCUACUAUAUAUGUCAGAGAGUUUGUGCGUGUCUGCUUGUCUGUCCCCAGCCAGGGGACAUGCACCACUCCCCCAGAUUUGCUUACUACAGCUGCAGCAUCUAUGAACAAGCACUUCUCACCUGGCUCCAAGCUGCUGCAUGAAAGAGGGCUGGGACUGUCCUCUCUCCCCAGGGCAGCCUGCAUACAGAGCCCCUCAUCGCCUGUCCCACCCCAGAACAAUUAUUUAAAUAAACGAAAACAAGAGUUAUUUGAGUUGAGGACCCAAACAAUGCCAGGUAAAUCUUCUAGUAAAACAAAUGGAAACAAAUUAAAAUUAUAAGUGCCCCCACACAAUAAAGUGUUAAAGGAAAGAGUUCUGGAAUAAAUAGGCUUUGAUCUACACUGCAGAGAGAAAGACAGCCAAAGAACAAAUAUGUCCUCUCUGAAAACUUAA